ensembl:snoRNA U3 Small nucleolar RNA U3
AAGCCUGUACUCUCAGGGAUCAUUUCUAUAGUUCAUUACUAGAGAAGUCUAUGUAUAGAGCACCCAAGAGCAUGAGGCAGAGAGGCAGCGUUCCCUCCUGAGUGGGAAGCUGGCUCUAGGUGCUGUUUGCUACAGCUGCCUUUUACCAUUGAUGAUGACCCUUCUUCUCUUCAUUUGUGAGUGGGGGAGGGAGGGAAGAUAGUCUGGUUGGA